rnacentral:rRNA from 1 species
GACGAACGCUGGCGGCGUGCUUAACACAUGCAAGUCGAACGGAAAGGCCCUGCUUUUGUGGGGUGCUCGAGUGGCGAACGGGUGAGUAACACGUGAGUAACCUGUCCUUGACUUUGGGAUAACUUCAGGCAACUGGGUCUAAUACCGGAUAGGAGCUCCUGCUGCUUGGUGGGGGUGGGUAAGUUUCGGCGGUUGGGGAUGGACUCGCGGCUUAUCAGAUUGUUGGUGGGGUAGUGGCUUACCAAGGCUUUGACGGGUAGCAGGCCUGAGAGGGUGACCGGCCACAUUGGGACUGAGAUGCGGCCCAGACUACUCCGGGAGGCAACAGAGGGGAAUGGUGCACAAUGGGCGGAAGCCUGAUGCAGCAACGCAGCGUGGGGGAUGACGGCAAUCGGGUUGUAAACCGCAUUCGCCUGUGACGAAGCGUGAGUGACGGUAAUGGGUAAAGAAGCACCGGCUAACUACGUG